AGAGUUUGAUCCUGGCUCAGAACGAACGCUGGCGGCAGGCCUCAAACAUGCAAGUCUAGGGGGUGUAGCAAUACAUCACCGGCGGACGGGUGCGUAACGCGUGGGAAUAUACCUAUCGAUUCGGAACAACUGAGGGAAACUUCAGCUAAUACCGAAUACGUCCUAACGGAGAAAGAUUUAUCGUCGAUAGAUUAGCCCGCGUUCGAUUAGCUAGUUGGUGGGGUAACGGCCCACCAAGGCGACGAUCGAUAGCUGUUCUGAGAGGAAGAUCAGCCACACUGGGACUGAGACACGGCCCAGACUCCUACGGGAGGCAGCAGUUGGGAAUCUUGGACAAUGGGGGAAACCCUGAUCCAGCCAUGCCGC
rnacentral:rRNA from 1 species